GACGGAGGGUGCAAGCGUUGUUCGGAUUGACUGGGCGUAAAGGGCGUGUAGGCGGUUUGUCAAGUCGGGUGUGAAAGCCUGGGGCUCAGCCCCAGAAGUGCAUCCGAAACUAGCGAGCUAGAGCGCGAUAGAGGAGGGUGGAAUUCCUGGUGUAGCGGUGAAAUGCGUAGAUAUCAGGAGGAACACCGGCGGCGAAGGCGGCCCUCUGGAUCGUUGCUGACGCUGAGACGCGAAAGCGUGGGGAG
rnacentral:rRNA from 1 species